rnacentral:rRNA from 1 species
UACGUAGGGGGCAAGCGUUGUCCGGAUUUAUUGGGCGUAAAGAGCGUGUAGGCGGCCUUACAGGUCAGCUGUGAAAACUCGAGGCUCAACCUCGAGACGUCGGUUGAAACCGUAAGGCUAGAGUCCGGAAGAGGAGAGUGGAAUUCCCGGUGUAGCGGUGAAAUGCGCAGAUAUCGGGAAGAACACCCGUGGCGAAGGCGGCUCUCUGGGACGGUACUG